rnacentral:lncRNA from 1 species
UGACUUUUUGACCAGUACGGCUGUCGUAUACACCCAUAAUUUAUUACCCUAGCGUGAUGUAUUGUGUUCAUUCUGUUAAUUAAAGUAAUUGUUUGACUUUCCAGGAAUCUGGAGAAAGUUCCAAAGCAAGACUGAAUCGCAGGAAAAAGGCGAAAUCAAUUCUUAAGGACACAUUAGAAGAAAACAGCACGGUUACGUCUAAACAACAAAACAAAUCGUUCACGUUCGAACUGAAGGUAGAGCGGGGGUUCACGCUGCUGCUCCAGAUGUCCAACAACCCGGAGGCGCUGGGGUUCAUCCUCCGCGGGCUGCUCAGCUACAUGUCCACCAUUCUGAGACUUCUCCAGAGGCAGAACGGCGCCGAACUCCACCGCUUUAUGGCCGCUCUCGUCCAUAAUUUGCUCAAGACGGCGGUGGGGAUGGAAGAUCUGCCGGAGGAGCCGCGGGCGCCGGAGCUGAGCCUGGAGGUUGGCGAGGCGAGCUCCUCGGGGCCGCGGGCGGCGGAGGCGGAGGAGGCGGAAGAGGCGGAGGGCUCGCGGGGCUGGAGGCGGAAGGAGCUGGCGGCGGCGUUGUGCCUCGUGCUCCGCGUGUGCUUGUCGCUCAUCCAGGGGGCCCACGACCUCCAGUACACGGCCAUGAUCACCAUCAACAAGGUCCUCGACGUCUGCAUCGUCCACUCGCUCACCCACGUCAAGGUCCGCACCGCUUCGGCCCUCCUCCACCCCUGCCUAGAAACAACGAAGCAAGCGACAUCGCAGGAUCUGCCGCGGAACAACAAGAACCACUUCACGUGCCUGAGCACGAAGGCUGUGAAAACCGGGGCCAAGCGGCUCGGAUCCGUCUGGAAGUACGCCGCCGGGGAACACCAAGGCACUCAGCAUCCUUCAGGGGCCCACUCCGAGGACCGAGAAGAAAGUGUCAUCGACGUUCUGUCAAACGAGCACGCUCUGUCGGUGCUGAACAUCCUGCAUAAUUCGUUGACGCUCUACAAGCGGGUGAUCGGCAGCAAACAGCAGUGCACGCCCAGCCAAAGGUGGCGGCACUGUAAUUACCAUUGUUUGCAACUAUUGUCCGCCAGAGCGCUGCUCUUUAUGGUCGGAAGCCUUACCGUACAAACGACCUUGGUUCAAGAACCUCAGCUCAAAAUUCUUGCCUCUGCCUUGGACUCAACCAACGACCCUCAACUCCUGGUGCUGGUGCUGCAGAUAGCCUCGACGCUGGCUAUGGAGCCGUCCCACCACUGGCAGCUGACGGAACAAGGCUCCCGGACGUGCUAA